UUUAUCCUGAUGAUAAAGAUCCCAAGCAGAAAGCAACAACAAUUAUGAACUCCUCCAAGCACAUUCCGCUCGCAGUAAGGGCCCUCAGGGAAGACUGGCAGGGAGAUACAGCAUCAAAUGGGGACACUUUACCGACACUGGAAGGCCAUACUGGGAUGGAACACAGUGGGGCAUGGAGAGCUCCAUGGAUGGACACUUUACCGACACUGGAAGGCCAUACUGGGAUGGAACACAGUGGGGCAUGGAGAGCUCCAUGGAUGGACACAGCUCCUGGCCCCAGCCCCACGCAGGGCUGUGACCCAGAUCCCCCCCUGAUGGGGCUCCAAGAGCCUCAGGAACAACUCCCUAC
rnacentral:lncRNA from 12 species